ensembl:snoRNA
AUCCUUUUGUAGUUCAUAAGCUUGAUGAUUGGGUGUUCACGUAUUUGUGUAACAUGUGACUCCCUCCAACCUUGUUACGACCUCUGCACAUGACCUGUCUGAUG